rnacentral:lncRNA from 1 species
AUUGCGGUGGUGUUUGUGCUAUUGUGUAUGUCGCAGGUCCGUAAAUUUAGUGUCAUAUCAAUCUAAACAUUCCAAAAGAGUGUCAAUUAUUUGUUUUAACUCUAUAAUUAAUGUAAAAAGUUUGAUGGGCUUAGAACUAGCAAGUAACUUGUGGAAGAGAUAUUCCUUGGUGGUCAUAGUUCCAUCAUUUUUUUUUUACUGCAUAUACGCAGACUACUCUCGUACUCAGAGGUGGAAAGCUAGCUUGGCUUUAAAGAAUCAAGAAGUCCAGUAAAUAUGAAGAUCAUAACGAAAGACAUCAAAGUGAUCAAGUCCCAAUUUCGUAAAAAUUAUCUGUUGAUGCUGAUUCCCUUAGCUGGUAUGUUUAUUGGUCAUCAACUAGAUAAGAUUGAAGACGAAAGAAUGUCAAAGUUUAGAGACAAGACAGCUCUUUACAAACGAGAUGUACCACCAGCAAAGCCAUCAUGGUAACCAAAGCCUAUUCAUAAGUCUUCUAACAUCUCAAAAGACAUGUUACCCAUAGUUAAUUUUAUUUAAUAAAAAAAAAAAAAA